rnacentral:rRNA from 1 species
ACCCGCUGAACUUAAGCAUAUCAAUAAGCGGAGGAAAAGAAACUAACAAGGAUUCCCCUAGUAACUGCGAGUGAACCGGGAUGAGCUCAAAUUUUGAAUCUGGCGGUCUUGAGGCCGUCCGAGUUGUAAUCUAGAGAAGCGUUUUCCGCGCUGGACCGUGUACAAGUCUCCUGGAAGGGAGCGUCAUAGAGGGUGAGAAUCCCGUCUUUGACACGGGCUACCAGGGCUAUGUGAUGCGCUCUCAACGAGUCGAGUUGUUUGGGAAUGCAGCUCAAAAUGGGUGGUAAAUUCCAUCUAAAGCUAAAUAUAGGCGAGAGACCGAUAGCGAACAAGUACCGUGAGGGAAAGAUGAAAAGAACUUUGGAAAGAGAGUUAAACAGUACGUGAAAUUGCUGAAAGGGAAACGCUCGAUGUCAGUCGCGUCUCCCGGGGAUCAACCUCGCCUUUUACCGCUUGGUGUACUUCCCGGUCGAUGGGUCAGCAUCAGCUUCGGUCGCUGUACAAUGGCAGGAGGAACGUGGCACUCUACGGAGUGUGUUAUAGCCUCAGGUCGUAUGCAGUGGGUCGGGGCUGAGGAACUCUGCACGGCUUCACGCUUGUGCUUAGGAUGCUGGCAUAAUGGCCUUGAGCGACCCGUCUUGAAACACGGGG